rnacentral:misc_RNA from 1 species
UCGAGGAGUUGCCGAGCGCUUUCACAGGGUACACUCUGCUGCACCUCUCCCGGCCUCUAAUACUUUAUCACUACUCUGUUUAGGAGUAUGGAGUUGAUGGUACGUAACAUGUGUGCUGUUUGUGGAGAGAUUGGUCUGUCAGUUCCAAGGUGACCUGUUAGGAGGAAUGCACUGUGAUGGGAGAUUACCUCGGCAUGAUUGAAGCAGCAAGGCUUAGUAGCUUUUCAAUUUGUGAAGACUUUUGUCAAUUUAUAAAUGCUGCAGAACCUUUAAAGCAGUGAAGCUGAUUUUGAUUCAUCAUGAUGAAGAGAACCAAUCUCUUGGGAUGUAACAUUUAAGAGGA